UGGGGAAUAUUGGACAAUGGGCGCAAGCCUGAUCCAGCCACGCCGCGUGAGUGAUGAAGGCCUUCGGGUCGUAAAGCUCUGUGGGGAGGGACGAACCGCCGUUGGUGCAUAGCCAACGGCAUGACGGUACCUCCUUAGCAAGCACCGGCUAACUUCGUGCCAGCAGCCGCGGUAAUACGAAGGGUGCAAACGUUGCUCGGAAUUAUUGGGCGUAAAGCGCACGUAGGCGGCUUUGCAAGUCGGAUGUGAAAUCCCUCGGCUUAACCAAGGAAGUGCAUCCGAAACUGCAGAGCUUGAGUACUUAAGAGGAUCGCGGAAUUCCCGGUGUAGAGGUGAAAUUCGUAGAUAUCGGGAGGAACACCAGUGGCGAAGGCGGCGAUCUGGGAAGAUACUGACGCUGAGGUGCGAAAGCGUGGGGAGCAAACA
rnacentral:rRNA from 1 species